CACGUAGGGGGCGAGCGUUGUCCGGAUUCAUUGGGCGUAAAGGGCGCGCAGGCGGCCCGGAAAGUCGGAUGUGAAAACUCGAGGCUCAACCUCGAGCGUGCACCCGAUACUGCCGGGCUUGAGGCAGGUAGGGGAGAUCGGAAUUCCUGGUGUAGCGGUGAAAUGCGCAGAUAUCAGGAGGAACACCAGUGGCGAAGGCGGCGCUCUGGGCUGCACCUGACGCUGAGAUGCGAAAGUGUGGGGAGCAAACGGG
rnacentral:rRNA from 1 species